rnacentral:rRNA from 1 species
CCCUUAGAUGUCCGGGGCUGCACGCGCGCUACACUGAAGGAAUCAGCGUGCUAAAACCAUUGUCGAAAGGCAUUGGUAACCCAUUAAAAUCCUACGUGAUUGGGAUCGGGAAUUGCAAUUAUUUCCCUUGAACGAGGAAUUCCCAGUAAGUGUGGGUCAUAAGCUCGCGUUGAUUACGUCCCUGCCCUUUGUACACACCGCCCGUCGCUGCCCGGGACUGAGCCGUUUCGAGAAAAGCGGGGACUGCUGCUGUCGGGGCUUUCGGGCCUUGGCUUCGGUGGAAACCGCUUUAAUCGCAGUGGCUUGAACCGGGCAAAAGUCGUAACA